rnacentral:rRNA from 1 species
GAUGAACGCUGGCGGCGUGCCUAAUACAUGCAAGUCGAGCGAACGGACGAGAAGCUGGCUUCCCUGAUGUUAGCGGCGGAGGGGUGAGUAACACGUGGAUAACCUACCUAUAAGGCUGGGAUAACUUCGGGAAGCCGGAGCUAAUACCGGAUAAGAUUUUGAUCCGCAUGAUUCAAUAGUGAGAGACGGUCUUGCUGCUACUUGUAGAUGCUUCCGCGUUGCAUUAGCUAGUUGGUAAGGUAACGGCUUACCAAGACAACGAUGCAUAGCCGACCUGGGAGGGGGACCGCCCAAACUGGAACUGAGACACGGCCCGGACUCCUCGGGGGGGCAGCAGUAGGGAAUCUUGCGCAAGGGGCGAAAGCUUGACGGGGAAACGCGGCGUGAUGGAUGAGGGUCUUCGAAUCGUAAACUUCUGUUAUUGGGGAAGAAGAUAUGUGUAAGUAACUGUGCACAUCUUGACGGUACCUAAUCAGAAAGCCACGGCUAACUACGUG